CUCAGUCCUCAAAAAGGGCUGCAGCCUUCAUUGGCUACAAGACACCUAGUCCUUGCGGUACUAUCGAGCGUGACGCUUGGUGGGAGUCUAUGGUGUGCUGGCACCGCAACGUGGACUCUACGCUACCGAAACACAACGUACAACGGAAACAACACACCUGUGAGAGAGCGGACCAAACGCCGGCAACGGAAUACGGCUAGCUGUGCAGAGCGUGCACGGCUGGGCGACCGGACGAGGUAUGCAGCUCUGGCAACUGUUUUGCCCCCACGUGUUGAAGGAGCGGCUUACGAGAAAGCUAUGAACACUAGCGGCAGUCACGGGAGACGAGUUGUCGACGCAAUACUAGUAGCCGAGGCCAAUAAUGCCGCUUCAUUCUGGCGAAGUAAAAAUACCGGUAGCAAACAACCAAUGGCCCCUGGCCGCAAGACGCUCUAGCGAACUUCUUCUCCGCGUGGCUUGGUCGCCGACCUCCAGAGAGCCUCACUGGACAUGUCAUCACUGAAGGCUCAGUCACUAUCAACAAAGCACUCGGCUCUGAAGGGACUAUGAUGUUUGCGGAAUGGUCGACGUCUGCUUUCCGGGACCAGGUAGCUACUCAGCUGAAAAAGCACCGAAGACGAGGGAGUGCGUGGUGUGUUCCCAGCACAUCGACACGUCGUUCCUACAUCCCCUUUCAAGCCUUUGUUUUGUCCUUUUCCUCGUUUCUUUUUAAUAGUAAGUCAAGCGGGCGAGGAAAUAUUGCUAUCCUGCAGUGAAUACGUAUUGCUGUCCCGCAGUGGAGCGCAGUCGACGACAGGUGAACACUCGAUCGAGCUCCGCGGAGGGUUGUCGAUGGCUGCUAGUCCCGGCAGGCCAGCCUCAAUCAGCGGGCAGCGGACGGUAGCGCGCUACCUGAGGCAGUACAUGUACUAUUAGUCAGUGUUAGCGCAAGAAGAUGCGUGUGCGGCCGGAACCGCAUUCAAUGUACUUUGCGGAAGAAUGACGGAAGAGUUUUCCGAGCAGCGACUAAUGACAACAUCCGACGACGGGAACUCUGGCAAAACCGAGGAGUGUCAAGGAAGAAGUCACCUUGUCUGUCUCAGCGAGUCAGUACAGAUAUUGCAGUUCUCAGGGGAUGCUGAAAGGUCUUGGUACAACACACUGAAGCGUAUCCGACAGGUUCUCAGGGGACGCUGAAAGGUCUUGGUAAAACACACUGAAGCGUAACCGAUAGGAUUGUGGAAAAGCUCUGCAUGGGCAUGGGUGCACAGCACAGCCAGAACAAUUUUGCACUGUUUGAGUAGUGUGGAUCACUAUCAAAGAACAUCGAAGAUCGUGUCAUUGUCAAUGCAUGGCAUGGUGUCUGUCUGCUAUCAGUCUGUUUAUAUACGCAGGUUAAUCAAAUAACAAACCUUAUGCAUUUCUUCUGCUCUGUUACUGGUCAAAUCAUACUAGUUACAUAUCUUUAAUCUUUGUUGGCCUUCCCGCCACUGUUCAUCUGUGUCAUUUCCAACCAUUUGUUUUUUUGACCUCCUGCUGCAUGGUUCUUUGAAGUGCGCACAACCUCCCAAUCAAUCCAAGAUCUGAUUGAAAAAAUCAGCAGACUUUUAUCUGACUUGUUGGCCUUCACGCCACUGUUCAUCUGUGUCAUUUUCAACCAUUUGGUUUUAUUGACCUGCUGUCGCAUGGUUCUUUGUAGUGCGCACAACUUCGCAAUCUAGAACUGUUCUUUAUAAAAUUUGUUUGAACAGUUGAUGAAGACAAUUCGAACGUGCCCUUAGUAGUUGCGGUUGCUUCUGCUACUGUUGAUGCUGCUGUUGUUAUGGUCGUCAUCGUUUUGUUGCUGCUGCUGCUCUCGUAACUCUUGCUGUUCUAGUAUUUUUUGUAAUUCAUUUAUUGCACGGGGUAGUGACAAAAACGCUGCCCUCUAUUCUAAAGACUGUAAAACCAGAAAGUUUAACAACCAAAUUUUUUUUUUUGAAAUUUUGGCCAAAUAACGUGCGGAAAGUUUAACGAUGGCUAUCUGGUCGGCCACCUGGUACCCAUCUGUAUGCACGGACAUUAUUCUCCCCAUAAAUAAUUAUAAAAAGUAAAUUAUCGUGUCCGUUUCCGAAGGGAACUCACGACGGUCGCUAACACCCGAUAAACCCUAUCUCCCCAUCACGUUUCUUGAAAUGACGAAAAAACUGGUCGCUAAACGUUAG